UCNGGAUUUAUUGGGCGUAAAGCGAGCGCAGGCGGUUAGAUAANUCUGAAGUUAAAGGCUGUGGCUUAACCAUAGUACGCUUUGGAAACUGUUUAACUUGAGUGCAGAAGGGGAGAGUGGAAUUCCAUGUGUAGCGGUGAAAUGCGUAGAUAUAUGGAGGAACACCGGUGGCGAAAGCGGCUCUCUGGUCUGUAACUGACGCUGAGGCUCGAAAGCGUGGGGAGCGAACAGGAUUAGAUACCCUGGUAGUNCACGCCGUAAACGAUGAGUGCUAGGUGUUAGGCCCUUUCCGGGGCUUAGUGCCGCAGCUAACGCAUUAAGCACUCCGCCUGGGGAGUACGACCGCAAGGUUGAAACUCAAAGGAAUUGACGGGGGCCCGCACAAGCGGUGGAGCAUGUGGUUUAAUUCGAAGCAACGCGAAGAACCUUACCAGGUCUUGACAUCCCGAUGCCCGCUCUAGAGAUAGAGUUUUACUUCGGUACAUCGGUGACAGGUGGUGCAUGGUUGUCGUCAGCUCGUGUCGUGAGAUGUUGGGUUAAGUCCCGCAACGAGCGCAACCCUUAUUGUUAGUUGCCAUCAUUCAGUUGGGCACUCUAGCGAGACUGCCGGUAAUAAACCGGAGGAAGGUGGGGAUGACGUCAAAUCAUCAUGCCCCUUAUGACCUGGGCUACACACGUGCUACAAUGGCUGGUACAACGAGUCGCAAGUCGGUGACGGCAAGCUAAUCUCUUAAAGCCAGUCUCAGUUCGGAUUGUAGGCUGCAACUCGCCUACAUGAAGUCGGAAUCGCUAG
rnacentral:rRNA from 1 species